rnacentral:miRNA from 1 species
CCGUUUUCAGGUCCCUGUUCGGGCGCCACUUGUUGGAAGCCAGCUGACGAAGUAAUUGAGGGCACCUGAAAGGG